GGCCAGGUAGCUCAGUUGGUAGAGCAGGGGACUGAAAAUCCCCGUGUCGGCGGUUCAACUCCGUCCCUGGCCACCC
rnacentral:tRNA from 1 species